GAUGAACGCUGGCGGCGUGCUUAACACAUGCAAGUCGAACGGAAAGGCCGAAGCUUGCUUCGGUACUCGAGUGGCGAACGGGUGAGUAACACGUGGGUGAUCUGCCCUGUACUUCGGGAUAAGCUUGGGAAACUGGGUCUAAUACCGGAUAUGACAAUCUCUUGGAUGGGGUUGUGGAAAGCUUUUGCGGUAUGGGAUGAGCUCGCGGCCUAUCAGCUUGUUGGUGGGGUAAUGGCCUACCAAGGCGUCGACGGGUAGCCGGCCUGAGAGGGUGUACGGCCACAUUGGGACUGAGAUACGGCCCAGACUCCUACGGGAGGCAGCAGUGGGGAAUAUUGCACAAUGGGCGCAAGCCUGAUGCAGCGACGCCGCGUGGGGGAUGACGGCCUUCGGGUUGGAAACUCCUUUCGCAACCGACGAAGCUUUUUGUGACGGUAGGUUGAGAAGAAGCACCGGCUAACUACGUG
rnacentral:rRNA from 1 species